UACGAAGGGGGCUAGCGUUGUUCGGAAUUACUGGGCGUAAAGCGCACGUAGGCGGAUUGUUUAGUUAGGGGUGAAAUCCCAGGGCUCAACCCUGGAACUGCCUCUAAUACUGGCAAUCUAGAGUCCGAGAGAGGUGAGUGGAAUUCCGAGUGUAGAGGUGAAAUUCGUAGAUAUUCGGAGGAACACCAGUGGCGAAGGCGGCUCACUGGUCUGGAACUGACGCUGAGGUGCGAAAGCGUGGGGAGCAAACAGG
rnacentral:misc_RNA from 1 species